GGUUGCUGCUAUUGGAAUUCGAAUUAGCCAUGCAAGUUAGGGGGCCCUCGGGUCACCGGCAUAAGGCUCAGUAACACGUCGAUAAUCUGCCCUUAGGUCAAGGAUAAUUUCGGGAAACUGAAACUAAUACUUGAUAGGAGAUUGAUACUGGAAUGUUCUUUCUCUGAAACGUAAGGCCUAAGGAUGAGUUGGCGGCUGAUUAGGCUGUUGGUGAGGUAACGGCUCACCAAACCUGUGAUCAGUAGGGGAGAUGAGAGUCUUGGCCCCGAGAAGGACACUGAGAUACUUGUCCUAGUCCUAAGGGAUGCAGCAGGCACGAAACCUUUACAAUGCACGAAAGUGUGAUAAGGGAAUUCCAAGUGCUCUAUUAAUGAUAGGGCUUUUGUUAAGUGUAAGGAGCUUGACGAAUAAGUGGUGGGCAAGACUGGUGCCAGCCGCCGCGGUAACACCAGCGCCACGAGUGGCGACCAUGUUUAUUGGGUCUAAAGCGUCCGUAGCCGGUUAGAUAAAUUUCUUGUGAAAUUGUUGGGCUUAACCUAACAGCGUGCGAGAAACACUGUCCAACUUGAGACCGGGAGGAGAUAGAGGUAUUCUAGGGGGAGCGGUAGAAUGUUAUAAUCCUUAGAGGACCACCGAUGGCGAAGGCAUCUAUCUAGAACGGGUCUGACGGUCAGGGACGAAAGCUAGGGGAGCAAAACGGAUUAGAUACCCGAGUAGUCCUAGCUGUAAACGCUGUGAGCUAGAUGGUGUAUGUUUUUCGUAAAUGUACAGAGUCCAAACGAAGGUGUUAAGCUCACCACCUGGGAAGUAUAGUCGCAAGGCUGAAACU
rnacentral:rRNA from 1 species